rnacentral:rRNA from 1 species
UACACAUGCAAGUCGAGCGGUAGAGAGAAGCUUGCUUCUCUUGAGAGCGGCGGACGGGUGAGUAAUGCCUAGGAAUCUGCCUGGUAGUGGGGGAUAACGUUCGGAAACGGACGCUAAUACCGCAUACGUCCUACGGGAGAAAGCAGGGGACCUUCGGGCCUUGCGCUAUCAGAUGAGCCUAGGUCGGAUUAGCUAGUUGGUGAGGUAAUGGCUCACCAAGGCGACGAUCCGUAACUGGUCUGAGAGGAUGAUCAGUCACACUGGAACUGAGACACGGUCCAGACUCCUACGGGAGGCAGCAGUGGGGAAUAUUGGACAAUGGGCGAAAGCCUGAUCCAGCCAUGCCGCGUGUGUGAAGAAGGUCUUCGGAUUGUAAAGCACUUUAAGUUGGGAGGAAGGGUUGUAGAUUAAUACUCUGCAAUUUUGACGUUACCGACAGAAUAAGCACCGGCUAACUCUGUGCCAGCAGCCGCGGUAAUACAGAGGGUGCAAGCGUUAAUCGGAAUUACUGGGCGUAAAGCGCGCGUAGGUGGUUUGUUAAGUUGGAUGUGAAAUCCCCGGGCUCAACCUGGGAACUGCAUUCAAAACUGACUGACUAGAGUAUGGUAGAGGGUGGUGGAAUUUCCUGUGGAGCGGUGAGAUGCGUAGAUAUAAGAAUGAACACCAGUGGCGAAGGCG